AUGUACAAUUUUCCACCCACACAGAACUGCUUGAACAAGAUGACAACUCUCAUUCGUAGAGUCUGCUCCCAGCUUGUCCACAAGGCUCACUUCAUGAACAGCACCUGGGGGGAGACAGAAUGCAGUGACACCUCUGAUGAAAGCUGUACCAGUGUCUUCAGAGGACUCAUGACUGGAAAUCUACUCCCUCCAGUCAUGCAUGGAUGUGUCCAAAGCUGGCUUUAACAAUUCAAACAGCAAGGUGUCCUGGCAGGAUGUUUUAUCUCAUCAUGCCUCUGUGGAGGAAGCCCAAUGGAAGGGCACCAACAUAACCAGUGAAAAGAUAAAAUUAUCUCUUCCACAAACCUCACUCACCUCAGGAGAACCUCAUGAAACAGCUCUGUGACCUGACUAGUGCUGGUUCAAAGGACAACAUGACCCCAGGAUAGUUCACCUCCAUUUUCCAGCAAGGAGGGCCAUCAUGAGAGUCCUGCUAUACAAGAAAGAGAAUUCAGCCCAUUCUCUUCAGAGAGUUUCCUUUAAAAUGUGAAUCUGGAAGACCCUGAAGAAUGGUGUCAUAAAAGGUCUGGGAACUUUAUGUUGCUGUCUGCUAAUCCAAAAGAGACCGUGCCUAGCGAGCAACAAAAUUCUGGUUGUGAGUUAAAAAGGCUGUGGAGGCAGCUGUGGUGUGGGGAAUUGCAGGCUGGUCUCCAGUCAAACUGAGGUCUGAACCCCGAUGAUCAUAAUCCACCUUUAUGACACGGAACUGUGAUCCCUGGAUGGUAAUACCAGAGAGUGGAGAGAAGCUUGCUGAGGAUGCAGACAGGAGUAGGAGAGAGUCAGAUCUUUUGCCUGCAUGUAUGUCUGUGUGCCAUGUUCAUGCAGUAUCCCUGAAGGCCAGAAGAGGGGCAAUCAGAGCCUCUAGAACUGGAGGUAUAGACAGAAAUAAGCUGUCAUGUAUGUGCUGGGAAUGAAACAUGAGAUCUCUGCAAGAGGAGUGAUCUGUGGGAUUCCAGCUCUAUAAGUAGUCUUCACAGUUGUGCAUUGAAAUGUUUGCUGUCUAGAAAAAGUACCCAAGGAGUUAAAGGGAUCUGCAACCCUAUAGG